rnacentral:rRNA from 1 species
UUGGAGGGCAAGUCUGGUGCCAGCAGCCGCGGUAAUUCCAGCUCCAAUGGCGUAUAUUAAAGUUGUUGCAGUUAAAAAGCUCGUAGUUGAAUUUCGGGGUUCUACCGUUGGUCGGGCUUUGUCUGUACUGGUGUGUAGAAUUUCUACCUUCUGGGGAACCAUCAUGCUAUUAAUUUAGCGUGGUGGGAAACCAGGACCUUUACCUUGAAAAAAUUAGUGCGUUCAAAGCAGGCUUAUGUCUGAAUGCAUUAGCGUGGAAUAAUAGAAUAGGACGGUGGUCCUGUUUUGUUGGUUUCUGAAUCACCGUAAUGAUUAAUAGGGAUAGUUGGGGGCAUUAGUAUUCAAUUGUCAGAGGUGAAAUUCUUGGAUUUAUUGAAGACUAACUUCUGCGAAAGCAUUUGCCAAGGAUGUUUUCAUUAAUCAAGAACGAAAGUUAGGGGAUCGAAGACGAUCAGAUACCGUCGUAGUCUUAACCAUAAACUAUGCCGACUAGGGAUCGGACGAUGUUAAUUUUUCUUGACUCGUUCGGCGCCUUACGGGAAAC